rnacentral:lncRNA from 1 species
UUAAUGUUAUCAAAAAAUAACACAGGCCUGCGAUGGCGUUGUUGUCUUGAAAUUUUUACAUGUUCUACAGUAAUUCCUGUACGCUGAAUCCAAAAAUUAUAUCCAUUUUUCUCCAUCACGUACAGAUUUUGAACAAAACGUCAUAUAUACUUUUAC